UUUUUGUCCUUGGUUCUUACUAUCUCUCAUCACAGUUGCUCUUAAACUGCCUUAGUGAAAGGUAAUUAUUUUAGUUGUGAUUUCCAAGGAACGGACGACACAUAAUGUAGCCUCCUUACAUAUUUACACAUUAGCUUUCUUUUUGUGAGCGAAACAUCUGGGUAUCUGGCUGAUAUUGUGCUUUCCACACUAUCGCCCAAUUUAUUCAAAGCAAUCAAUGUGCAAAAAUUAUAUAUGUACGCUUUUUCCAUUUAGAAUACUAGUCAUUAGAUACUGUUUUCCUUCUUAUUUAGCUUGCCUUGACUUGCUUAGAUUGUUAGAUAUCACGAUACCGCACCUGCACUCCUAUGUAACUCAUGCCUCUGAUCAAUAAACAUUGAGCUGGAGUAUGAACACUAGUGCUUUGAAGCAUGUGCGAGUCGAUGGGAGUAUAAACGCGAUCCCAAGUAAGUUUUAUAGUAAUGAUGAACUUCUGUAGAUAGAACUACAGGUGGUAAAACGUUGCGGAGCUCGUGCAGACCCGCUCAAGAAAUAUAUUUUGCGCUUAAUGCUCACUCAGGACUAGACUCACCGAAAUUUUCCUCACCUGGACUCACUCAGACUCACUAAAAUUUUUCUCAGCCGGACUCACUCAGACUCACACUCGCCAAAGUAUUACUAACCCGGACUCGCGAUUCGGUCUGAAUAAGUCUACUCGUGAGUGAGUUUGCUGACCUAUGGUGCCGGGUCACGUCGAUAUCGACUGCAGUGACGAAGCAGAUGCUUGUGCAGCAGUAGCUGCACAAAGCAGCAGCCCUCAUGAGAUUAGUGUGCCACACCAUCUGAAAGUGCUCGUUCGGCACAUUCUGUUGGUGGCAGAGGCAAUGGCAGAGGUUGUUGAAAUCAACAAACUCCAUACUAGCUUGUAUUUUGGUGGUAUCCGUGGGUAGUCAGUCUCUACCAUUGUAAGGGCCACUUGACGUGAAGCGAAUAGGUACGUUUGUAGCCCUUGAUUUACUGUGAUCUUAUGCGCCAGCCUUCUUUCUACUUGUGUACUGCAUCAUCACUGCUCAUGAUAUCUCCACAACCAUCAACCACUACACCUCCUAAAUGUUCUGCAAAACAUAAAAGACACGUCUACACAUUUGAUAUCCAGACAUCUACGGUUAACACACCCAUCUUUAUUUAGACACAUCAGCUCCAUUUAUUAUAGUGUACCCACAUUUGGUGUGCUGAAAUGAUGAAACAGGUGCUCAGCACAUUGGUUUGGUUCACUGGACAUUCCUAGCCUAUAUGCUGCUGCAUUGCACUGCCAGAGAUGUUCAGUUCUACAUUUCCGUCCAAGUUCUCAAAUUUGUAUUGCCCUAUGUAUAGAGCUUAUCUUUAAAAAAAAAUAAUAAGUAGUUACAUCAAAUUACUUAUUGAAAAACUAGUCCCUCAAGUACAGUGCUAAAAAAUAUAAAGGAAUUUCUAAUGAUCAAGCCUAGUUGAUGCCAAGGGUAAAAGUAUGUUUGAGUGUACUGUGUUUUUUGUGCAGGCUUUAACAGUGGUCUCUGGGCUGUUGCAGAUGUGUCCAUUUCUUCUGUGCAGAAACGAAGAACUUGCAUGCUUUGGAUAUUGCCAGGAAUGCAUUGUACCAGCCUCUUCUUAAAAAUCAUUUACCAGUUUACGCUUGCGUUGCAGCUUGAUACGUGAUGAACAUGUGAUUGUGGCGGUGAUGUGACGAUGUCUGUGGACAUCGUCACAUCACCGCCUGUGGACUGCUGUGGACUGCUGCUGAUGAUUGGUAGUAUUGAAACGAGUGAAAUUGACUAUUCAAUUUCUGCACUGUUAGUCAAUUGAGAUUAGGAAAAAAUAGAUUUCGUUACAAUGUAGAUAUUUCAAUCUUUAGUUUAAAGAAAUAUUGCCUGUCUUGCAAAGCACUGGUUCAGUUAACUAUUUAUUAAUGAAUAUCUACACAUCUGUAUGUGCUGAGAAAAACAGUUUUGUAUAUAAGUAACCGCAAUGCUUCGUAGUGGAACUUUGGUAUUUCACUGCAAGAUAUAAGUAUUAGUCGUAGUAUAAGUGUACAAAUGCAGUCUGAUGUUACUUUAUUAUGCAUUUUGCCCUCUAAAGCUAUUGUGUAUGUGUCUGUGUUGUGCUUUCAAAUCACCAAAAUCUUCAAAUAAUGUGGGCAAACAAACUUCAUUAAUUUUUUUUGUGGUGCCACUGACUGAGCAACAACCAUUUAAGUUCACUUAAAUUCUUCUCUGUCCUCCUCUAUCAUCAAACAUUGCACAAUUCUUAAUUCGAUCAUUCAUUUUUCUCUUUACCUUUCCUCUUAGGUGAUGCCUAAAAUGUUAAUAGUGCAUUGAGUUGAGUUCAUAGUUUUAUAAUAUAUCCUAGGUACCUUGACUGUUCUGGCACAUCAAUAUGGCCUCAUAAGUGAGGGUCAAUGUAUAGUGAUCGUUUUCAUUCAGUAUACAGUAAAGGCAUAUGUUAAUUCAACCCUGAUUAAUUUGGAAAAUUGGAUUACUUGGAUGUGGUUUCUGGUCCCUGCCAGAAUAUGAAUUGCUUAAUGGCAUCAAGCUCUCAUUAAUUUGGUCCUAUUUGGCCUCAACCUGGUUAAUUCGGACGGCCAUUGGAGCGCAUUGAGCACGAUGCGCUACAAAUUUCCUACGCAAAAGAAAUGAAAACAAUAUUCACAGACAAUUGAAAUGAGGCUGCGCUGUCCGCAUCGCCAUCUUCACCAAUUAGUGAUUACGGUUUUGUCCACAUGUGGACCCAGCACACAGCAGCUUCAUUUUAACUUGAUGCAAUGUGCGCAGAAUGUCACAGAUGGCAAACAUAGCGCAAGUUGUUGAAGAUGAAGAGCUUUCAGUCGCGUUUGGCAUGCUGGCAUAAAACUCGCUUGCUACAUCGCACUGGAUUAACAAUCGGUUGCCAGCCAUUUUACCUGCAAGGAAACACGUGCACGUGAGGCAGGUGGUGGUGGUAGGUAAAGGUGCGUUGCAGAGCACAUUUCUCGUUGACGGGAGUCUUGCGGUGUAGGUGCAUGGUGAACGAAGUCUCAGGAUGACAAAAAUUGCGACAUUUUUAAUUCUCUUAUGCAGAAUAAGUAUAGGAUUUAUGAGUUCAUCAAGAAAAUAAAAAUGUAUUCAUGUAACAGACAUUUGUUUAAAUUUUUGUUCAUACUUUCAAUAGUUUGGCAUUUGGUCAAUUCGGACAUUUUUUCCUCUCCCGUGAAAUCCAAACUAAGGAGAUUUUGCUGUAAUUAUUUAUACAUUGUGAUAAAGCAGGAUAUGUACUUGUGUGUGUGGUCAUGUAAGUGUCUGAAACAUUACAUGGUGAAUUAGUUACACUGUAUUCUAUGAUAUCACUAUGCUAUCAUUGAAGCAGGAUAGAGAUAUUAAUGGGAAAUGUGUAAACUGUGCUAGUACACAUAGAGAAUCAAUUUUUUGUGCAGUCCACAUAAAUGUGCCUGUAUUUCUGACCACCAAAAACUGAUAUUCUUAUAUCUCUUGUAAAUAUUUUGUAUUCCUUUUUUUCAUGUUUUGCAGUUUGUUUCAUUUUAACUUUGUUCGCUCUUAUUUUAUUUCUUAUGCUUCAUGUGUUGGUAUUAUGAAGUUGUUUGGUUGCUGGUACAGCAUUUUAUGGAUACUUUUAUGAGAAAAAAAGAAAGUACAAUAAGUACUUCACCGAGCUGGUGGCUAAUCUAUUAGCAUAUUACAAAGAAAUUUGGCCGUUUAAGUAUAGUAUCAGAAUUACAUCUAAAUCGCAUCCCUGUGCAUUUACUGGAGGUUUCUGCAUGUAUUAGACGGAGUAUUUACUUACAGAGAGAUGGAAUUUGUAAACGUGUUUUCAUAUCACAGUUACUGCUGCAGUAACAUGUAGCUUGCAUAGGCGAAGGUGAUCGUGUGCUUCAUUUACGAGUGCAGUAACCUCUCUUUUUUGCCUGGUGCUGUAGUUUAUUUGCAGACAAUCUAUGUCACAUGGUUUUCAUUGCCUUUCUUUUCUACCUGUGGCUUUGCAGGUUCCUUGUCUUCGGCAUCCCAUGAGCAGUACCAUUCACUCGUGUCCGUACAAGGCGAACUGCAGUCCUGUCGUCAGUGCACCUAUGUGACCAAGGUCAGGAGUAACAUGAAAAGACACGUUUGCAAACAUACGGGUGAGCGUCACUUCCAGUGCCACCUGUGUCCAGCUGCAUUCUCUCAGAAAGCUCAUCUUACAGAGCACAUUCGCAUCCACACAGGAGAGCGUCCCUUUUCCUGUGAUCGCUGCAGUGCAUCUUUUUCGGUGAAAAGUAACCUUGUGGACCACAUGCGCAUUCACACAGGAGAACGUCCCUUUUCGUGUGACCACUGCAGUGCAUCGUUUUCACGAAAAAUGACCCUCAUGAGGCACAUGCGCACCCACACAGGAGAGCGUCCCUUUUCCUGUGACCACUGCAGUGCAUCGUUUUCACUGAAAAUAACCCUCAUGAGGCACAUGCUCACCCACACAAGGGCGUCCCAUUUCCUGUGACCGCUGCAAUGCAUCUUUUUCACUGAAACAGACCCUCGUUAUGCACAUGCGCACCCACAUAGGAGAGUGUCCCUUUUCCUGUGUCCACUGCAAUGCAUCCUUUUCACGGAAAGACAUCCUGAAGACCCACAUGUGCAAUUAUAUUGCGAAGAAUCAGCCCUGACAGUCGUGUGUGCAGUGUCAACUUGAGGGGACAACAGGAAAGCUAGUUCAUUAAUCAGGUUUUAUUGCAGGGGGGGGGGAGGUAACAUCUAAAGUGCGUGAAAUGAUUUUUGCAUGCUUCAGCAAAUGAGUUUACAGAGAAAUUUGUUAUUGCUAGUGAAAAUUUUCCACAUGCCUUUGACUGAUUAUGCCGCUAUGCCAUGAUAAUAUAGGUUUGAGUUGUCUCAAACGUUGACUAUAUUUUUUAUUCCUCUCUAUGGGAGCAUGUUUAUUUGCUUCUUCAAUGUAACAGUUUCACUGCUUAAAAGAAGACCAAGGCCAUUCUGUGAAACUUUUGCUGGUGCCAGUGGUUGAAUAGUUACAUAGUUUUUAAUAAGGUGUGCCAAGGGACAGAGAGGAGCUGUAGAGUAAAAUGUUUUUUGACAGCGUCUGGGCACAAGGGGGUGAUGAAUUGCUGAAGCAUCUUCUCCCGAUAUCUCACUUAUUGAGCUACCACUGCAGCUCUCACUUUUUGUUCAUCUUAGUUUGCUUGACUUCAUGUCAUAACAAAUAUCGUUCAGUUAAAAACUACAAUUAGUGAUCUCUCUGCUUUCCUUGGCUUCAUUAUUGUUUGGCUUCAUUAUCAUGUGUCUAAUAAAUAAAGUGGCUCCUCAA
rnacentral:lncRNA from 1 species